AUUGAACGCUGGCGGCAGGCCUAACACAUGCAAGUCGAACGGUAACAGGAAGCAGCUUGCUGCUUCGCUGACGAGUGGCGGACGGGUGAGUAAUGUCUGGGAAGCUGCCUGAUGGAGGGGGAUAACUACUGGAAACGGUAGCUAAUACCGCAUAAUGUCGCAAGACCAAAGAGGGGGACCUUCGGGCCUCUUGCCAUCGGAUGUGCCCAGAUGGGAUUAGCUUGUUGGUGGGGUAACGGCUCACCAAGGCGACGAUCCCUAGCUGGUCUGAGAGGAUGACCAGCCACACUGGGACUGAGACACGGUCCAGACUCCUACGGGAGGCAGCAGUGGGGAAUAUUGCACAAUGGGCGCAAGCCUGAUGCAGCCAUGCCGCGUGUAUGAAGAAGGCCUUCGGGUUGUAAAGUACUUUCAGCGGGGAGGAAGGGAGUAAAGUUAAUACCUUUGCUCAUUGACGUUACUCGCAGAAGAAGCACCGGCUAACUCCGUG
rnacentral:rRNA from 1 species